CGCGUAGGCGGUUUCUUAAGUCAGAUGUGAAAUCCCGGGGCUUAACCCCGGAAGUGCAUCUGAAACUAAGGGACUUGAGUAUGGGAGAGGGAAGUGGAAUUCCUGGUGUAGAGGUGAAAUUCGUAGAUAUCAGGAGGAACACCGGUGGCGAAGGCGACUUCCUGGACCAAUACUGACGCUGAGGCGCGAAGGCGUGGGGAGCAAACA
rnacentral:rRNA from 1 species